AGUGAACGCUGGCGGUAGGCCUAACACAUGCAAGUCGAACGGCAGCACAGUAAGAGCUUGCUCUUACGGGUGGCGAGUGGCGGACGGGUGAGGAAUACAUCGGAAUCUACUUUUUCGUGGGGGAUAACGUAGGGAAACUUACGCUAAUACCGCAUACGACCUACGGGUGAAAGCAGGGGAUCUUCGGACCUUGCGCGAUUGAAUGAGCCGAUGUCGGAUUAGCUAGUUGGCGGGGUAAAGGCCCACCAAGGCGACGAUCCGUAGCUGGUCUGAGAGGGUGAUCAGCCACACUGGAACUGAGACACGGUCCAGACUCCUACGGGAGGCAGCAGUGGGGAAUAUUGGACAAUGGGCGAAAGCCUGAUCCAGCCAUACCGCGUGGGUGAAGAAGGCCUUCGGGUUGUAAAGCCCUUUUGUUGGGAAAGAAAAGCAGCAGGUUAAUACCCCGCUGUUCUGACGGUACCCAAAGAAUAAGCACCGGCUAACUUCGUG
rnacentral:rRNA from 1 species